rnacentral:lncRNA from 10 species
UGAACAUAAGUGAUGUUUCCCUAAAUCAUUCUAGCAAAUUUUUAAACCCAAGGAUGGGGUUGUGGUGUUAAUCUGGUUUGGAUGUUUGUCCCCUGCAAAUCUCAUGCUGAAACGUGGCCCCCGGUGUUGAAGGCAUGGCCCAGUGGGAGGUGUCUGGGUCAUGGGGACAGAUCCCUCGUGAAUGGCUUGGUACCACCCUCAUGGUAAUGAAUCAGUUCUUGCUCUAAUAGUUCAUGCAAGAUCUGGUUUUUUUCUUUUUUCUUUUUAGCAGAGUCUCACUCUGUCACCCAGGCCAAGAAGGGUGGAUCACCUGAGGUCAGGAGUGUGAGAUCAGCCUGGCCAAUAUGGUGAAACCCCAUCUCUACUAAAAAUACAAAAAUUAGUUGGGUGUGGUGGCGCACACCUGUAAUCCCAGCUACUCGGGAGGCUGAGGCAGGAGAAUCACUUGAAUCUGGGAGGCGGAGGUUGCAGUAAGCUGAGACUGUGCCACUGCACUCCAGCCUGGGCAACAAGAGCAAAAGUCCAUCUCAAUAAAUAAAUAAGUAAAUAAAUAAAUGGGAAGCAGAGCAUAACAAUUUGGAAAUUUGCAGCCUGGUCAUGUGGUAGGUAGAGAAGGAAAGAACAUUUUCGGAGGUGGAAUUCAAGGAGCUUGUGGAGCAAUCAUUUGGUAGAGAGAUUUACAUAACUAAAAGGGAGCCAAGUGCUAAGAGUCAAGAGAUGGAAAACAGGCCUGGAAGCCAUUUUGGAAGUCUUCAGGACAGCCCCUCCCAUCACAGGCCCAGAGGCUUAGGAGGAAAGCAUGGCUUCAGGGGCCAGGGCCAGGGCCAGGGCUCCACUGUCCUGUGCAGCCUCAGGACACUGCUUCCUAUAUUUUGGCUCUCCAGCUCCAGCCGCAGGCCAAAGGUCCCAGAUCUAACUGAACUGCUAUUCCUAAAGGCACAAUCUGUAAGACUUGGCAGCUUCCACGUGGUGUUAAACCUGCAGGUGCACACAAUGCAAGAGUGAAGGAGGCUUAACAGCUUCCACCUAGAUGUCACAGGAUGUAUCAGAAAGCCCAGGUGCCCAGGCAGAAGCCUGCAGCAGAGAUGGAGCCCCUGCAGAGAGACUCUACUAGGGGAGUGCUGAGGGGAAAUGUGGGGUUGGAUCCCACACAUAGAGGCCCCACUGGGGCACUGCCUAGUGCAGCUGUGGGAAGGGGACCACUACUCUCCAGACCAGACCCAAGAAAGGUAGAUCCACCAGCUGCUGGCAUCCUCAGCCUGGAAAAGCCACAGGCAGCAGACUCUAACCUGGGAGAACAGUCAUGGGGGCUCUCCCUUGACAUGGAGUAAAGGGAGAUUUAGCUUUAAGGCUUAAUGUCUGCCCUGCUGGGUUUCAGACUUGCCUGGAGCCUGUUACCUCUUUCUGUUGGCCAAUUUCUCCCUUUUGGAAUGGGAAUGUUUACCCAUUGCUGGUACCACCAUUGUAUAUUGGAAGUAACCAACUUGUUUUUUAUCUUAUAAGCUUUUAUCUUACAGAGAUUCUUCUGCCUCAGCCUCCCGAGUAGCUGAGGCACGAGAAUCACUUGAGGCAGAGGUCACAAUGAGACGAGAUCACGCCAUUGCACUCCAGCCUGGGCGACAGCGAGACUGUAUCUCCAAAAAAAAAAAAAAGAAAAAAGAAAAAUGUAGGUAAAACCAAAUUAAUAAGUGUUAUAAAUAGACAUGUAUUAUUUUCAUUCUCAAGAAGUUGAGCCAACAUUUAUAAAAUUAUUUGAAGGAGUUUUGACCUAUUUCAUUUCCAGCCUAUGAUGGUUCAUCCUUCCUCAGCAACCCAAGAAUUCUGACUAGCUGUGUGAACUUAGGCAAGUUACUUUCUCUUUCCAUUGACAGAUGGGGCUGAUAACAGCUACUGGGUCUGCCCUUACAUGUGCUGAGCUCCAAGGAAGGCUCCCUCAAAUAAUCAUGAGAUCGCGCCACUGCACUCCAGCCUGGCGACAGAGUGAGACUCCGUCUCAAAAAAAAAAAAAAAAAAGUUAGUGGCUGGGUGCGGUGCCUCACGCCUGUAAUCCCAGCACUUUGGGAGGCCGAGGCCGGCAGAUCACAAGGUCAGGAGUUUGAGACCAGUCUGGCUCACAUGGUGAAACCCUGUCUCUAUUAAAAAUACAAAAAUUAUCAAGGCGUGGUUGUGUGCGCCUGUAAUCUCAGCUACUCGGGAGGCUGAAGCAGGAGAAUCGCUUGAAACUGGAAGGCGGAGUUUGCAGUGAGCCAAGAUCAGGCCACCACGCUCCAGGCUGGGCAACGAGAGCAAAACUCCAUCUCAAAAAAAAAAAACAAAAAAAUUAGCCAGGCAUGGUGGUGCAGACCUAUACUCCCAGCUACUCAAGAGGCUGGGAUUAACCAGGCAUAGUGGUGCAGACCUAUACUCGCAGCUCCUCAAGAGGCUGGGGGUGGAGGAUUGCUUGAGCCCAGGAGGUUGAGGCUACUGUGAACUAUGAUUAUGCCACUGCACUCCAGCCUGGGUGACAGAGCGAGACCCCAUCACACACACACACACACACACACACAAAUCGUGUGAUGCUGUCACUUGAUAAGUUAUCCCAUUCAUGUAAAAUUAGGUGAUUUGCUCCACCUCCCAGGCUCAAGUGAUCCUCCCACCUCAGCCUCCCAAGUAGCUGGGACUACAGGCCCGCACCACCAUGCCCAGCUAAUUUUGUAUUUUUUAGUAGAGACAGGUUUCACUAUGUUGGCCAGGCUGGACCAUAUGUGCUUUGUAAAACCCUUCCUUAAUUGUAAAACAUAAGACACAGAGAAAAGCAUAUCAGACAUAAAUCUUGUGAAUUAUUGUAAAGCAAAACCUGACACCACCAAGGUCAAGCAUGAGAAUCUUGCCGGCCACGGCCAACCCUCUGUGUUCCUUUCCUGCCCCAAAGGCAUCCACAUCCUGGUUGUUGUAACAUUAUGCUAAUCACCUCCUUGUCUUUAUACAUUUUUUUUUUUUGAGAUGGAGUCUCGCUCUGUCGCCCAGGCUGGAGGGCAGUGGCGCCAUCUCAGCUUACAGCAACCUCUGCCCCCUGGGUUUAAGCGAUUCUUCUGCCUCAGCCUCCCAAAUAGCUGGGAUUACAGGCGCACACCACCACUCCCAGCUAAUUUUUUGUAUUUUUAGUAGAGAUGGGAUUUCACCA